rnacentral:rRNA from 1 species
GACGAACGCUGGCGGCGUGCCUAAUACAUGCAAGUAGAACGCACAGUUUAUACCGUAGCUUGCUACACCAUAAACUGUGAGUUGCGAACGGGUGAGUAACGCGUAGGUAACCUGCCUGGUAGCGGGGGAUAACUAUUGGAAACGAUAGCUAAUACCGCAUAAUAUUGAUUAUUGCAUGAUAAUUGAUUGAAAGAUGCUAUUGCAUCACUACCAGAUGGACCUGCGUUGUAUUAGCUAGUAGGUGAGGUAACGGCUCACCUAGGCGACGAUACAUAGCCGACCUGAGAGGGUGAUCGGCCACACUGGGACUGAGACACGGCCCAGACUCCUACGGGACGCAGCAGUAGGGAAUCUUCGGCAAUGGACGAAAGUCUGACCGAGCAACGCCGCGUGAGUGAAGAAGGUUUUCGGAUCGUAAAGCUCUGUUGUAAGAGAAGAACGGGUGUGAGAGUGGAAAGUUCACACUGUGACGGUAUCUUACCAGAAAGGGACGGCUAACUACGUG